AUUGAACGCUGGCGGCAUGCCUAACACAUGCAAGUCGAACGGCAGCGCGGGUAGCUUGCUACCUGGCGGCGAGUGGCGGACGGGUGAGUAAUACUUAGGAAUCUGCCCAGUAGUGGGGGACAACUCGGGGAAACUCGAGCUAAUACCGCAUACGCACUACGGUGGAAAGUGGGGGAUCUUCGGACCUCACGCUAUUGGAUGAGCCUAAGUCGGAUUAGCUUGUUGGUGGGGUAAAGGCCUACCAAGGCGACGAUCCGUAGCUGGUCUGAGAGGACGAUCAGCCACACUGGGACUGAGACACGGCCCAGACUCCUACGGGAGGCAGCAGUGGGGAAUAUUGGACAAUGGGCGCAAGCCUGAUCCAGCAAUGCCGCGUGUGUGAAGAAGGCCUGCGGGUUGUAAAGCACUUUCAGUAGAGAAGAAAAGCUUAAGGUUAAUACCCUUGAGUCUUGACGUAACCUACAGAAGAAGCACCGGCUAACUCCGUG
rnacentral:rRNA from 1 species